AAUACAGCUGUUGCCUCUUCUAGAUGUGUGCUGUUUAACAACAAGGCAAAGCAAAGGACACUUGAAAUUAGUCCCCAACUGAAGUCCGUCUCCACUUGAUGGACAUGGCAUGAUGUUAUUUGACCAAGAGCCCUUAAUGUUUCCAUCAGCCUGGUAUUGGUGCUGAUGUGUUUCUGGACUUGUGAUGGCUGUGGCAGGUCUUUAGGUUCUGGAUCACGAUAAGGCAGUAACAGAUUGUGGUUAAGUGUUUAAUAUGCCUCGGUGGGAUCCAUACAUAUUCUGUAUGAAGUCAACAGGACACAGGUGUGGAGGCUGGUGGCCCUUUCCAAAACUGCAGUAAUUGUUGAUGUAAUGGUGAUCAUCUUGAUGUACCUGGCAUGAUUGUCAUUUGGACAAGGGUCAAAGUGUGAACCACCUCAGGAAGGGAUGGGGGUUUUAUUGUUAUUAGCAUUGAUGUGAACACGAGCCAACAGCCACAUUUUA
rnacentral:lncRNA from 1 species